GCCGGAGUGGCGGAAUCGGCAGACGCGCAAGACUUAAAAUCUUGUGACCGCAAGGUUGUGUGGGUUCGAGUCCCACCUUCGGCA
rnacentral:tRNA from 1 species